CAGUAGCCACGGUAAUACGAAGGGUGCAAGCGUUACUCGGAAUUACUGGGCGUAAAGCGUGCGUAGGUGGUGGUUUAAGUCCGUUGUGAAAGCCCUGGGCUCAACCUGGGAAUUGCAGUGGAUACUGGGUCACUAGAGUGUGGUAGAGGAUAGUGGAAUUUCCGGUGUAGCAGUGAAAUGCGUAGAGAUCGGAAGGAACAUCUGUGGCGAAGGCGACUAUCUGGGCCAACACUGACACUGAGGCACGAAAGCGUGGGGAGCAAACAGGAUUAGAUACCCCCGUAGUCCCUGUCUCUUAUAC
rnacentral:rRNA from 1 species